rnacentral:rRNA from 1 species
GAUGAACGCUGGCGGCGUGCUUAACACAUGCAAGUCGAACGGAAAGGCUCCUGCUUGCAGGGGUACUCGAGUGGCGAACGGGUGAGUAACACGUGGGUGAUCUGCCCUGCACUUCGGGAUAAGCCUGGGAAACUGGGUCUAAUACCGGAUAGGACGAUGGUUUGGAUGCCAUUGUGGAAAGUUUUUUCGGUGUGGGAUGAGCUCGCGGCCUAUCAGCUUGGUGGUGGGGUAAUGGCCUACCAAGGCGUCGACGGGUAGCCGGCCUGAGAGGGUGUACGGCCACAUUGGGACUGAGAUACGGCCCAGACUCCUACGGGAGGCAGCAGUGGGGAAUAUUGCACAGUGGGCGCAAGCCUGAUGCAGCGACGCCGCGUGGGGGAUGACGGCCUUCGGGUUGUAAACUCCUUUCGCUAGGGACGAAGCGAAAGUGACGGUACCUGGAGAAGAAGCACCGGCUAACUACGUG